rnacentral:rRNA from 1 species
UACGUAGGUGGCAAGCGUUGUCCGGAUUUAUUGGGUUUAAAGGGUGCGUAGGCGGUCCUAUAAGUCAGUGGUGAAAUCUCCCGGCUUAACCGGGAGGGUGGCAUUGAUACUGUGGGACUUGAGUAAAGUUGAGGUUGGCGGAAUUGACGGUGUAGCGGUGAAAUGCUUAGAUAUCGUCAAGAACACCUAUUGCGAAGGCAGCUAACUAAGCUUUAACUGACGCUGAGGCACGAAAGUGUGGGGAGCAAACAGG